rnacentral:lncRNA from 1 species
GUUAAUUCCAGCUGGGCAAUAAAACAGGAAAUAAAAUGUAAACCAAAAUAAUAACAAGAUAUUUUUUCACCUGAGAAAAACAGUGAAUUCCUUAGAACAAUUCUUGUUAUUCCUUUUGCUUCUGGUUAUCCCUAACUUCACACAUGACCAGAAGGCUAAAUCUUGACUUGUCAGUGCACUGUGUGAGCCAGGUAGACCAUGAAACAGUGGUUUUGUAACCAGUUGAAACAUUCACAAACAAAGACGUCAAGUAUCAGUGAUGACAAUUCCCAGAAAGCUGAUGCAAUGGCUGUCUUAAGUUAGGCCAAGAAACUUUAGUGUGAGUGGGAGAGGAUUAUCAGAGACCUGGUACUACCAGGGAUGUGAGGAAAAUUGGCAACUGAGCAAGAAUGUUCAGUAGCUGUGAAUGUAAAGAACAGUUUAUUAUGGCAGAAUUAUAAUUGCAAUGAUUUUUCAAAUGUGAAUAGCAAAACAACCACCUGUUACAUCGUAUUGAUUUAAAUCACAAAAGCUAUUGAAUUUUCCAUAAGCAGCUGGAUGUUCCGCUGUCAUGUAUUUUCUAAAACAGAAAGUAAAACAAAACUGUAAGAGACUCAUAGAGAACGAAACUGUGAGAGAAACAGUGGGGAAAGAAAGGCCUGGCAUUCCCAUUAUCUCUUGGGUAGAUUUGUCUUUGCUGGAUAAUUGCACUUUGGAUUGAUUUGCUGCCUCUGGCAGUUUGUUUGGAAGAUAACUUUUAUUUGUCCCUUCUCCUGAUCCUCUUCCACCCUAUUAUUUAAAACCUAAUUAUCUUAUGAAAUACUAAUUGCCAAGCUGUGCAACUUAAUUUUCCAAACUGCAGUCUCCAGUAUUUCUACUUGCCAUUUUUGACCAAGGAAUGCUUGCAGGGAGAAGGUUUACUUUUAUGAAAAGUUCUCCAGCUCAACACAGGAAGCAGCUCAGUCACACAAUAAGAUCCCACCUUUUUACCUGAAAUGCAUAAAUGCAUUUUGCAUCCUUUUUUUUUUUUUUUUUUUUUUUUCUUCUGCCAGGUUUUGAAAGAACAGGGAACCUGCUGUCAGAUGAUAGACUGGGAAGCAGAGACAGCUCCAAAAUCAGUGUGUGAAGUUUCUAGGCCCUGUUUGAAGGCAGCAGAUGGAGCUGCCUGCCCUGAUGGUAAACAGCAACUGCCUGGAACCAACAAGCCAGUUGAGCAGCUAGAUCUCAGUGCUGCUUGGGGAACCAUGUUGGAUUGCUUAGAGAAAACUGACAUGAAAUGUCACCUCUUGGACUUUCUGCUUAACUCUACAGAAAUGUUAACAGCUUCACAUUCUCUUCCUUCAACCCAGCCUCUUGUCAGGAGCAGUUCGAGCAUAUGACAUGUCAGUCAUUAUUAUGAUUGCUUCCCUGCACAUGGACACUGCAGAUCUGCCACGGGAAGAAACAAGGAGCAUCAAACUGAAUCCAAAUUGAGCGCCUGAGGAAUGUGUGUGCAAGAGGACACCCACUCUCUCUCACACACGCACUUAUACCAAUGAUAGCAUGUAUCAGCUCUUCCACAUCUGUGAGCUGUAGCACUGCACAUUGUGAAAAAAAAUAUGUGCAGAAUUCUCAGAAGGCACCACAUAAAUAAUACAUGUCUGUGUCAGGAUUUUUCACUAUUAUUCUUUAUAUCAAGGUGAAGUGUAUAGUAGAAAUAUGAUUUAUUGUGUUCCUUUCCUGGAAGCAUGUUUUACAAUCUUUAUUUAUUCCAGUGUAUGUGAAACGGGAAGGGAAAAAAAAAAAAAAAAAGGUUUUGCAAUGAAGUGUAUUAACUGAUAAGGAAUAUAUGAUAAUUUUACUGAAGUCUGUAGGUCAAAUCCCCAAACAAGUUGUCUUCUCCUAUCCUCAAGGCUGGGAGAAAAAAAUGUAUGAAACUAUGUAUUAUAUCCUUAAUAUGUUGUCUGCCCCACUUUGCCCUCCUUACUGGGGCCAGCCUUUUUGCCUAGGCAAAGUAAGCAUCAAUUUAUGCUCAAAGACUUCCCAGAACGGCUAGGUGAUUGCAGCCGCAUAUUUUGCUUGUGUCUAGCAGAAAAGCAUAACUGAGCAGAGAAUCCUGUCCAAGUGGCUUGUCACUAUCUCUUGCUUGCAGAACGAAAAAUUGAGAACUUUCUGCUUCCACAUUCACAAAAGGCAAGUACCAGAACUAUUUCUGGGGGUUAAGAAGUAUUCCUAGAAGGUUGCAUGGGCUCAUUAGCCUCACUCUUCUUUUUCUUCCUGCCCUUUCCCCUGAGAUUUUUCCCAUGUUUUUCAUCCAGGCCUGUCUUUUUCUCUUUUCUGUAUAAGAAGUAGUGCUGGCAUGCUUGUGGCAGAGCAGCCUAGUCACAUCAGUUGAAAGGGCAAGAAAUGUGGUGCAGAGAAGGAACAGAGAGACAUUUCAUUUUUUCUUCCAGCCUCCUUUCCCCAUAUCCUGCUCUUUCAUUUCAAAGAUGACGACCAAAUAAAUUAUCUUAUGUUCCUGUGAAGCCUUGAGUU